rnacentral:rRNA from 1 species
CUCAGGAUGAACGCUAGCGACAGGCCUAACACAUGCAAGUCAGGGGCAGCACAAGGAGCAAUCUGAGGUGGCGACCGGCGCACGGGUGAGUAACACGUAUGCAACCUGCCUGUAAGCGGGGAAUAACCCGUUGAAAGACGGACUAAUACCGCAUAAUACUAAAUUACUGCAUGGUAAUUUAUUUAAACAUUUAUGGCUUACAGAUGGGCAUGCGCAUGAUUAGCUAGUUGGAGAGGUAACGGCUCCCCAAGGCAACGAUCAUUAGGGGUUCUGAGAGGAAGGUCCCCCCACACUGGUACUGAGACACGGACCAGACUCCUACGGGAGGCAGCAGUGAGGAAUAUUGGUCAAUGGACGAGAGUCUGAACCAGCCAAGUCGCGUGCAGGAAGAAUGUCCUAUGGAUUGUAAACUGCUUUUGCAGGGGAAUAAAGUGCAUCACGUGUGAUGUUUUGUAUGUACUCUGCGAAUAAGGAUCGGCUAACUCCGUGCCAGCCGCCGC